rnacentral:lncRNA from 1 species
UCACUGUACAGAAACGAAUCACAACCGUUAGAGUUCGAAGCUUCUCUUCUCCCCGACCAAUUCUUACAUUUCAUCUCCAAACUCUCUCUCUCUGCAUCUCUCAUUACUCCAUUUCAUUACGUGAGGAACGGAAUCGUGAAUUUUUAGAGAGAGAAAAUGAAUGCUGUUGGAAGGCAGAGAUCUGGUGCAUCAUCCACUGUGCACCACCAGCGGCAGAACUCCGAUAAUUUUCUAGAAUCAUCAUCUAACGGCCGAUGGCUGCAAUCAGCUGGUCUCCAGCACAUGCAGCUAUCGAACAAUGCAGUUCCUCCACUUCAGGUGCAUUUUCGUAAUUUAGCGUUGCUUGUUGACCAAAUGUAUGCUUAGAUCUGAAUAUCUGAAUUCUGCAACGGAAAAUUUACGAAUUUUGAAUUAGGAUUUUGGUUACCAUAAUGGAGGGGGUGAGGACUCGAAGAUGUAUAGGAGCGUGCAGGCGCAGAGGACUUAUAGUGGAAAUAGCGAUUUGUUUGCUGAGCCAUUGAUGCCACCAGUAUAUUCACGGCCAGGUAGUCAGAGAAGGAAUGUAGAGGAGCAAGUUUCACCAAAUGAGUAUAGCCCGGGGCUCUUGGAUCUGCAUUCUCUCGACACUGAGUUACUUUCCUCGGUAGAUAUCGGAUUCUGGCAAUAAAUUGUGCAAAUGAAUUAGUAGAAGACUGAAAUUAUUAUUAUUAUUAUUAUUAUUAUUAUUAUUAUUAUUAUUAUUAUUUAUUUAUUUAUUUAUUUAUUUAUUUUUUUGUGUUAUAGUGGAUUAAGUAUUUGGGUGUGCUGCUGAAUUAAUUUCUAUUGAGUGUGAUUGCCCUUACAGUGGAUUAUCUCGUGUUCAAGUGUGUGAAUUACAACUCACUCUUUGUUGACUUCAGGUUUUAAUUACUUGUGAGCCUAAUUAAUAUGUGGCUUAUUGAUGAUGUCUGAUGAUUUUUUCUCAACAAGUCAUAAGAUUUCAUUUCACUCAUAGUGAGAAAUCUAAAGUUAUCUAGUUUAGAAAAUUGGAUUCAUGGUAGCUGAUAAUAAUCCCUAAGCUAGUGUGGUCUCUAAAUAUAAGAUUAUGCUCAGAAAAUUGAUAGCACAUUAGUUAUUAGAUAUUUUAUCGGUCUCAUUGUUUUAAUUUGGUUUUGAAACAUUUUGCUAUUCUAGUUCAUCUUGUUAUUUUAACUUUUUCCCUGUUUUUUUCCUUUUGUUGUAUGUGGAAACUAGAUGCCAGCUCCUCGUCUGUAUAAUGGCACCUCAAUGCAUUUUGCACAGGGAAGAAGCUUUGAUGACUCCAAUCCAUACUUUGGAAACAGUAAACAAACAGGCAAAGCUCGUGGUUUGCAGGAGAACAAUGUUAUGAAAAGCAUUGCAACGGACAAUGUGAGGGCCAGCAAUGUUGCAAAGAUCAAAGUGGUGGUAAGUAUGUUUUUCGUGUUCUAAUCAAACUGUUCUUACCUUUUUGUUUCUCGAUUAGCCUGUAGCUACCCA